ensembl:snRNA U7 U7 small nuclear RNA
CAGUGUUACAGCUCUUGUAGAAUUUGUCUAGCAGGCUUUCUGGCUUUGAAAGCCCCC